UUUUUAAUAAAAUGUGAUAAGAUAGGUACCAAUGUUAGUUUUGUUUUAUAGAUGAGGGAAAUGGAGUACGGAGAGGUUAGGUAAUUUGACCAAGGUCACACAGCUAUGGAAUAGCAGAAAUGAGACCCCAGGCAGUCUGAUUCCAGACUGCCCCUCAUGACUUUUUUCUAUGUGAGUUGUGUUUAUAUUAUUUCCCCAUUUAAAUGCUCUGAGUCCCCCACCAACUUGAUUGUGGGAUCAGAGUCCAUUCCCCUGACUCAACCCAAGCAAGUCUCCCCAGUACUUUCUAGGAACUUCCAAAAGAGUACCUCUCUCAUGGAGCCACAGUGAAGUCCAUCAGCAGCCAUCCUCCACGUUCUUCUCUAUUCCAAUCACUCUCUGGUUUCCACUGGUUACCAAACGAGUUGAAGUUUUGCUAUCACCUUCCUAAUGAUGCUCUUCAUAUAUAAGCUAUUACCUCACAACAUCUGGGACACCAACAGGUGCUGGUUCUAUCAAGACUGGCAAUAUAAUUUGCAGGAUCCAGUGCAAAAUAAAAAUGUGGGGCCUCUUCUUUAAAAGCUAUUUAAAGUCUGCAGCUGCAAAGCAUUGAUCAAGUACAGAGUUCCAUGUGAAGUGCUUUUUCAGUUGCAUGCCUGGAGAAUUGGCUCUGGGUUCUCUGCAGAGAUGGGAAAUACCACAGCCUUUCUGAAUCUGUCACAGCUUGUGCCCCUUAGGCAUGAAGGCAGGAGCCUCAUGGCCACACAUACUUUCUUGUGAAAAUGGGUCCUGCAGCUUCCAGUCUUUAGUCCUCCAGCCAGAGACCAUCGAAUCUAGUACACAGGGAUGGAGGUGCUGAUGCCUUGACACUCCCUCUGCUAUCUUGUCUUUCCUCUCCUUCCAGCAGCAAAGCCAAGCCUUUGUGCUCAUCUGUGGUUGUGACCAGUUGGAGAGACAUUAGGAGAUGAGAUACUGUGUUCACUCCUCACAGCUGUACCAGGGACCUGAGAUAUUCCAUCACUAUUCUAUGACAAAAGGCAAAUAUGCAAAGGACACUCAGGUAUGAAAAUCACCCCUCCUCCGUGAACUGGUGGCCUGUGAAAGAGAAACCCAGAGAGGAAUUGGCAUACUUCCAUUUCUAUAUUUCCUUCGUUUGGCACCAAAGGGAGCUAUGGUGCAUUACUCACGAGUGACAGAACCAACGAGCUUCAUCUCCCAAGAGGCCGGUGCAUCUGUUUAAAGAGAGCAGGCGCUAUGCAGAGCCGCCCCCACCCCACCCUCCAUGGCGGAGUGCAGUGGGGGAAGAUGGGGAAAUUGAGGCACAGAGAGGCUAAAGAGAAGCGCCUGAAGCCACACAGCUUGCAAGCGGUGGAGCUGGGAUUUGAACUUGUCAAUCUGGCUGCAGAGCUGAGCUCUUGGAGACUAGGUUAUACUGCCUAGUAGCAUGUAAGCCUGGAGCUGCUGGCAGGCAUUUUGUAAGUCUGCAGAGUGAACCUCAAUGAGCAUGAGGCAGAGAGGAAGGCAGUACUGAGAGAUGCAAAAAAGUCUGCGUUCCAGCAAGGGAAUCUGAAGUCCUGGAUCAAACCUUACCUGGUGCCAAGAUUUACCAAUCAGACAUGCCAAUUGUAAGACCCAAAUUUACCCUUUUGGGGGGAUUGAGUUUGAAUGAGUAUUUUUGUUUGUUUGUUUUGUCAUCAGAAAGAUUCCUGAUUAAUACACAGUAUGACCUUGACCAAGAUGCUUCAUUUCUCUAGGACUCAAUUUUCUUAUCUGUAAAGGGUUCAUCAACAUUCGUUGGUUGAAUCUUACCUGAAACAUUUUUUUCAGUCUUCAUCAAUCUCAUCUAAGCCUUUGUUUCCAUAGAACAAAGCCAUUUAAGGAAGGAGGGGGAAGUGUCAUGGAGUCUUACUGUCCUGAGUGCAAAUACGGUCUCUGUAUUGUCCUUAUCUGUUCAUUUUUUGCCUCUCAGUACUAGAAUGAAAACUCUAGAAGCGGAAG